rnacentral:rRNA from 1 species
AUGAGUUCUUCCUCCCCUUCCUCCGACCCGGACUACCAGGUCGCCACCUCUGACCUCGACGAUGACGCCGCUACCGCCGUCCUACCUAAGCGCCCCGACGCCGAGGGCUUCGUCUCGUCCAUGCGCUCGCCGGACGACGUCGACGCCGUGUGCAAGAAAUACGGCAUCCCGAGGGACCACUACACCGCGCGCCCCGCCGGCGAUCUGCGCGCGUGCUCGCCCCCGCCGCCGGGGUGCGUCUGCGUGUACGCGCACGCGCUGGAGGCCGGGAUGCGCGUCCCGCUGCACCCCUUCUUCUGCGAGGCGCUCGCCCACUUCGGCAUCGCGCGGACGCAGCUCGCGCCCAACACGUGGCGCAUCAUGGCGGGCUUCCUCGUGCUCUGCCGCUCCGCCGGCGUGCCGCCGUCGCUCGCGGUGUUCCGGCGUUUCUUCGUGCUGUCCGUCCUCAACCACAGGCUCUUGUUGCCGAUGGAGCCGGAGGAGAACGCGUCCAGGGCUGUUGGUGGCCGCGUCGUCCGCGUACGGGCGCGACGGGAGCGCAGGCCAUGUAUGGCGUGGGACGUGGGAUGUGGGCGACUGGGAGCGCCGUAUAGAGCGGCGUGGCGUGCGUACGAGCGCACGUUCAAGGACAACUCCGGCUUGCGCUUCACGGGGUUGCCGGAUUCCAUCUGCGGCUGGAAGCGCGGGUUCUUCUUCCUCUCCUCGCCGACCCCGUGGCCCUGUCCCGUGGAGUGGGCCGAGCCGUCCAAGUGCUCCUUCGAGGACCCGGACGUGUUUGUGCGACAGCAACCUUGCCGCUGCCGUUGUAACUGCAGCAACCUUGCCGCUGCCGUUGUAACUGCUCGUACAAGUGCCAGCUCUCAAGGGAUAGAUUCCGCCGUCUACGACAUGAUGAAAACCAUGCUGGCGGAGAAGAUGGCCCGGCAAGCGUCGGCAUCGGCAAAGAAGGUGAAAACCGAGCCAGGGUCGUUGCCGUUGUGCGGGAAGAAAGGGAGCCUGGACGAGGCCAACGACGAGGAGGGUCGUCCGCCUUCUUCUGACGCUCCACCUGCCGCCCGUGGCUACUCGGUGCCCACCAGCGUGUGCUCGCCACUGCCGGGAGUCUCGCGGCAGCCACAAGACUUCGCCGACAGACACGGAGCACAUUGGGAGGCUGCACGGGAGCUGUUGCAGGAUGCCGUCGCCCCACCGCAGCAGCGUGUGUUUGCGGCCAACGAGCCAUCAGAUGUCGUCGCGUCGAGCUACGUAGCGAUUCUCCAGGCGGCGAAUUACAUGUCGUUCUCAUUGGACUACGCUCUGGAGCUGGAAGAGAAGCUGUUGGCGCGGGACGCGGAGAUCGCCGCGCUGCAGAAGCAGCUGAAGGUGCGGCAGAGACCUAGAUGCCGUUGGGGAAACGGCGGGACACUGAGCGGAUGGAAGAAGCCAUGGAGAAGAUCCUGGCCAUUCAGAUUGCUGCUCGACAUUGAUCCCCAUGGCGUCUGCCCAUGCCCGUCGAUUGUGCGCCCAACAGUGAUAGUGGUACGUGAUGUGCGUGCAAGGUCGUGUCCGAGGUGCCACCGGUCUAUCCUCUACCCUAGGGACUAUCGAAAACAAGUUGCUGCUGAUCGACUUGUCUGUGGGAAGGAAGACAGACGAGCCAUAUGCGCAAAAGAAAAGGAAUGCUUCGCCGGCCAGAGGAGAGGAAAGAUGAAAGUGUGCAGCCAAAAAACGCCGCUGCUCUUCUCUCCGUCUUCUCCUACGUCUACAUGCAUGGAUAAAAGGAAUGGGAACUACGUGCCUCUGCUCCUCUUCACCCCGCGGCAGGCCAAAAGACUGGCCAUGGCGCAUGAUCCUCGGGCAAUUGCUCAAGUCCAGCCACGCUGCAGGGGCGUGCUGUUGGAAAUAAUGCAUCGGUUCAGAGAAUUCCAAAGAGCAUCGGGAGAAAUAGACAACACAUCUUCAUCUCCUUCCUCACAUAUCACAAGUGCUGAGCCGCCGUCGGAACGAAGCCGGCCGUGCUGUCCGUCGUGCAACGGCAGCCCGGCGAGCGAGUUUUCUGGGCAGCGUCCGCGCGACCGCUCCUUCGACGUCCUCGACAUCAUCAUCUCCGGCGAGGGCUGCUUCGUCGACGUCCUCGACAACAUCGUCUCCGGCGACCACUGCUUCCUCGACGUCCUCGUCGACAUCGUCUCCGCCACCGCUGCUUCCUCUACGAGAUCGUCUCCGACAAACUCCAUCCACGAACACCAAGUGCACCGACGUCUAGACUCCGAUUCUCCAUCAGGUUUAUCUAGUGCUUUAGACUGUCUUUUUGUUCCUGCUGCUAGUGUUUUCAGCCAUGUCGUAAAACCAUUUGCCUGUUUAACCUGCUCUUGUACGUACCAGAAAACUCUAGACCGAUUUGUCAUGGAUGCUCAUGUUGCGGAACUGAUGAAACCUGAAAAGUUUGCCGGUGACAACUUCAAGAGAUGGCAGUCCAAGGUGCGUCACUACCUCCUGUCCAAGGGCCUGUGGUGGAUUAUCCCACAGGUUAGGCCGCUGACUCGUCAGCAGAGAGCAUCGGGAGAAAUAGACAACACAUCUUCAUCCCCUUCCUCACAUAUCACAAGUGCUGAGCGCCGUCGGAACGAAGCCGGCCGUGCUGUCCGUCGUGCAACGGCAGCCCGGCGAGCGCGUCCGCGCGACCGCUCCUUCGACGUCCUCGACAUCAUCAUCUUCGGCGAGGGCUGCUUCGUCGACGUCCUCGACAACAUCGUCUCCGGCGACCACUGCUUCCUCGACGUCCUCGUCGACAUCGUCUCCGCCACCGCUGCUUCCUCUACGAGAUCGUCUCCGACAAACUCCAUCCACGAACACCAAGUGCACCGACGUCUAGACUAUGGUUCUCGCUGGUUUCGUGAUGUUUUCCUUUGCAUGCUAAUUAUACAAGGAUGGGUGCUAUCAAUCUGCUCCUUUGUGAAUCUAUACUGCAUGCUUAUGAAGAAAACCAUUUGCCUGUUUAACCUGCUCUUGUACGUACUAGCAUAUGGGGCUCGUAGGCAUGUGUGUAUGCAGGAAGAUUUUCUGCAGACAUCCAGUGCAACUGUGGUGCGUGUGAUAUGUCUGCAAACGAAGCAAAAGAUUUGCUGCCCAUUCUCUUUGGGAUUGGAACGAGUCAUGACUUCACGACGGAGCAGCUCCGCGCGUGUGAAGGAAGGAGACGAGGCCCGCGCGCUGCCCAGUCGGGAUAAGUCUGUUUUGAACCGAGGCCGAGCUAUACACAAACAUGAGAGAGAUGCAAGUUGGAAAUACCAACUAUCAAGAGACGAGGCAUAUGUGGCAUGCCGCUGCUGUGCCUGUACAACAACAUAUGUGACGUGCCCCAACAAGAGCACACCAAAAUGGAUCCGCCGGAUCCGACACACCCGUCGCCAUGGCCAAGCUUGCCCGCGCACCCACCGUGCUAGGUGUCGCCUGGGACCCUGCCCUGAAGAACCGUCGUGCUCCGCGGCCCUGUCUACACCAUCGUGGCAACGCCGAGGACCUCCAAGACCGCCGCCCGCUUCCUUUUCUUCCUCGGGUCGCCGCCGUCGUUCACCAUCGAUUGUCGCGACACUGCAGCUACUAAGCGCUCGCCAGGCCUACGUGUGCCUCGCGCUCGUCUCACCAUCGCGCCCCCCCUCGAACUCGCUUUCAAGCUCGGCUCCUUGCUCCUGGGGCUCCAAAGAGCCCGUAGCGCUCGUGCUAACGGGCACGGCCCAGUUGGGCAGUGCCGCUGCCGUCGUCCCCCCGAGGCGCGCCGACGCGGAGGACUACGUCUCGUUUCUGUGCACGCAGGACGAGGUCGACGCGGUGUGCGAGAAAUACGGCGUCCCCAAGGAUCGCUACGCCGCGCGCCCCGCCGGCGACCUGCGCGCGAGCUCGUCCCCGCCGCCGGGCGCCGUCUGCGUGUACGUGGGCGCGCUGGAGGCCGGGUUGCGGGUCCCGCUGCACCCCUUCUUCCGCGAGGUGCUCGCCCACUUCGGCCUCGCCCCGACGCAGCUCGCGCCCAACGGCUGGCGCACCAUGGCGGGCUUCGUGGUGCUCUGCCACCUCGCCGGCGUGUCGCUGCCGCUGCUGGCCGUUUUUCGCCAUUUCUUCCGGCUGGUCGUCCUCAACCUUAAGCGCAGAGGCUGGUACUAUUUCCGAUCUAAAGACACCUCCGGCCUGCGCUUCACGGGUUUGCCGCAUGAGAUCAAGGAUUGGAAGCACGCGUUCUUCUUCCUCUCGUCGCCGGCGCCUUGGCCUUGCUCUGUGGAGUGGGGCGAGCCGUCCAAGAUUUCGCUCAUGGACCCCGUGCUCUCUGCCGAGGACAAGAAAUUGGCCGCGAAGCUGCUGCGCGCUCACGGAGGCUCCCCCGUUGAUCUGGGGGCGUAUCUCUGCAGCAGCAAUCUUUCCGCCGCCAUGAUAUCUCCGGUGCCGGAGUCGCUGUCACCACAGCCACCGCCUUCUUAUACUCCUGCUGCUACCGAUUCCAAAGGGAUGGAUCCCUCCGUCUACGACAUGAUGAAAACCAUGCUGGCGGAGAAGAUGGCCCGGCAAGCGUCGGCAUCGGCAAAGAAGGUGAAAACAGAGCCAGGGUCAUCGCCGUUGUGCGGGAAGAAAGGUAGCCCGGACGAGGCCAACGGCGAGGAGGGCCGUCCCCCUUCUUCGGACGCUCCACCUGCCGCCCGUGGCCACUUGGUGCCCACCAGCGUGUGUUCGCCACUGCCGGGAAUCUUGCGGGAGCCACGAGACUUCGCCGACAUCACCAUUCAAAUUUCUCAAUAUCUUUCCAUAAACUAA